rnacentral:ribozyme from 1 species
ACUGCCAUGAGAUAGCCGUUCUGGACAAUUCACCUACGGUUAUCUUCAGGAGCAUGACCUGGAACCGAAUCGAUGUCCUAUUAGCGCUUGAGGAAAUCGAGCC